GCAUUUUUGGUCUGAUUAAUUCCCGCUUAUUUAAAACGGCGCAGAUUAACUACAAUUUGGUUUGGGUGAAACGACAGUUGGCUAUGGAUGGUUUGCCACAGCAGCAGCAACCACACGCGACUGGACUGAACUGACUGAACCACCAGCCAACGCACGAACAGUUAGCCAACCUCCAGCAGAGCUUGUGCCACCAGAUCAAGCUGCCGUGUGAGCAUGAGGGAAGGUCUCACCGGGAAGCGGCUCCUCCUGUCGUCCCCUCUCACCUGCCGCCCGGCAUCAAACCGCACUCCAGCCCCGCGAGCAGCGACCGUUUACCCGCACGGCAACCGCCGCCGGAACUGACGUCACCGGAGGGCGCUCGAGGGAAAGGGGUAGCUUUGGGCGACGGUGUCGGUAAGAAGGAAUAAAGGAGGGGGAAUCGCCAGGGAGGACAAACAGGAGCUUGGAACGGGCAAGUGGGAAGGUGACAGUAGGAAGCAGCAACAAUGGCAUUGAUGACAGCGUGAGGAUUGGAACAAUGAAUGUUCCACAUACCCAACGAGGAGACCAGUAUAACCAUGACCAAGGAGGUAUUCAUGGCCUGUCAACACACCACUCUCACCAUUUGAAUGAUCUUUUGGUCUCUCUGCGCGUUGCUGUCUCUGGCUAUAAAUUCUGUGCCUGUGUGCUUCUCUCUCACUUCACCUGAUGAAGGGGCAAUGCUUUGAAAGCUUGUGACUUCAAAUAAACCUAUUGGACUAUAA